GAACCAAAGAUUUCAGAUUUUGGAUUUGCCAAAGAGAAUUUGCACUUUUCAAAAUCUAAGAGUUCCACAGUUGAUCAUCAGAAUGGGGGGUAAGACAUAUUUUCUAUUCAUUAGCUUUGCAUGAUCGUAUCCUCCUACAUUUUCUUUCUUUGGGAGAGAUUCUCAAUUAUUAGUUUAUUCUUAUGCACAUUUUGUCUGAGUGCAUGCAGUUAUUUGGCUCCAGAGUAUAAAAAAUCUAGGCAGCUUACUGAUAAGGGUGAUAUCUUUUCCUUUGGUAUUAUACUUUUGGAAUUAAUUACUGGGAAACGAGCUGUUGAAGAAAAUGAAGACGGUGUUGGCACUACGUUGUCUGUUUGGGUAUGAAUUUGUUCCUCCAUCCGCUAUACUAUUAUUUUUAUAGUUUUUAAUGACAAAAUAGAUUGAAUCAUGCCCAUUAGAGUGCCAUUUUUUUUUAACUCAAAUUGCAUGAUUUGAUGUGAAGAUUCUUGAAUAUUAGCUAAUUCCACCUUUGUAGGAGUAUACUCCCUUAAAUUGUAUCAGAGCCAAAGAAUGAAUUGAUAGGAAGUUUUUAUUUUAUUUGAACAGAGAAAGUUUUGGGGUAGAAAGUAGAAUUAUGAAAAGUGGAUGAAAGGACCAAAAAGGUUGUCUAUGCACUAUAGCCAUAGUCAAUGUCUAGACACGUAACUUUAGUUUAGAACAAACUGAGGUUAUUGGUGAGUUUGUUGGUCAUCAUCUAGCUGUUGAAAAUGCAUAUUUUUAAAACUGAAAAUUUAAGAAGGUUUGGUGAUAUGAAGGAGAGAAAUUAAGAAGGGGAGAGAGGAAUAAAGGUAAUUUUGAAAUCUAAAUUUUAAUUUAGGUUUGACUUUUUUUUUUUAAAUUUGACUAGUAAGAAUAUAGUUAAAUAUAGUUAGUGAAAUUUAAAUUUUAUUAAAAUUUUGAAUAAUUAUAUGCCUAUACAAAUCAAACAAAUUUUCUUUUCUUAAAUGAUUGUUAAUUACUUUUCCUCUAAAUAUUUUUCAUAAGAAUGUAACCG
rnacentral:misc_RNA from 1 species